rnacentral:lncRNA from 1 species
UCUACACUCCUUAAAGUGACAAAUCCAUUCACUUCAUUAUGAAAAGAGCCAUCGAACGCCUGACUUCAAACGAUCUCGAACUACUUAAGGGGUCAAUAUUUCCCUUUCCGUAGAAGAAGCAAAUAUAUUUUAUCUAUAUCGAAUCAUGGAAUAUCACAAAAAAAAAUCCAAAGCAUCACUAAAAGGCCCCGACCACGAAAUCAUUUUCUGUUAAGGAAAAUGAUAAAUCUGGAUAAACCACGCAGAAAUAUUCUAAGAUCACAUGUUGUCUAAACGAUAUUUCCAAACGAAAGCUAAGCCACAAGAGGCAGUAAGCGCAACAUGAUCCACGAUGGCGUACUAUGAGUUGUGCACAUAUCAAGUUAAUAAUUCGCAGCCGCAUCAACUUCUCAUCAACUACACAAGGAAAAACCGAUCAAACAUGCAACACCAUUUCUUCUCCGCUAGAUCGCAGUCGUUAAGACCAGAACACGCCCAUGUCGGUAAACAAUUAUCUUUAAUCUAUUUACACAUAAAUACAUUGCAUCAGAGAAUAGAUUCUUGCAUUACAUUUUCAACUUAUAUAAUAUCAAAUUCAUAGACUAUUUCAAAUCACAUGUUUCAUAAAUAAACUUAUAUAACCACAAAAUAUUUUAUACAUUAUUCUCACACUAUCAGUAGCUCGAACUACUAUUGAGAUUCAUUUUUCGGUCUCAAAUGGCUCGAAAUAUCCUGAAACUCUAUUUUCGACUUUAAACAAGCUCAAACUCUUAACGAGUUCUACCACACAGUCUCAAACGACCCGAAC